rnacentral:rRNA from 1 species
UUCCGGUUGAUCCUGCCGGAGGACAUUGCUAUUGGGAUUCGAUUUAGCCAUGCUAGUCGAACGAGUUCACACUCGUGGCACAUAGCUCAGUAACACGUGGCCAAGCUACCCUUCAGUCGGCAAUACCCUCGGGAAACUGAGGCUAAUAGCCGAUACGAAACAGACGCUGGAAUGCACUGUAUUCCAAAGACACCGCUGAAGGAUGCGGCUGCGGCCGAUUAGGUAGACGGUGGGGUAACGGCCCACCGUGCCAGUAAUCGGUACGGGUGAUGAGAGUCAGAGCCCGGAGACGGAAUCUGAGACAAGAUUCCGGGCCCUACGGGGCGCAGCAGGCGCGAAACCUUUACACUGCACGAAAGUGCGAUAGGGGAAUCCCAAGUGCGAGGGCAUAUGAGCCCUCGCUUUUGUUGACUCUAAGGCGGUCAACGAAUAANAGCUGGGCAAGACCGGUGCCAGCCGCCGCGGUAAUACCGGCAGCACGAGUGAUGGCCGAUAUUAUUGGGCCUAAAGCGUCCGUAGCUNGCUGUGUAAUGUGGGAAACCACCCGCUCAACGCGUGGGCGUCCGGUGGAACUGCACGGCUUGGGGCCGAGAGACUCAACGGGUACGUCCGGGGUAGGAGUGAAAUCCUGUAAUCCUGGACGGACCACCAAUGGGGAAACCACGUUGAGAGACCGGACCCGACAGUGAGGGACGAAAGCCAGGGUCUCGAACCGGAUUAGAUACCCGGGUAGUCCUGGCUGUAAACAAUGCUCGCUAGGUAUGUCACGCGCCAUGAGCACGUGAUGUGCCGUAGUGAAGACGAUAAGCGAGCCGCCUGGGAAGUACGUCCGCAAGGAUGAAACUUAAAGGAAUUGGCGGGGGAGCACCACAACCGGAGGAGCCUGCGGUUUAAUUGGACUCAACGCCGGACAUCUCACCGGUCCCGACAACAGUAACGACGGUCAGUUUGACGAACUUACCCGAGCUGUUGAGAGGAGGUGCAUGGCCGCCGUCAGCUCGUACCGUGAGGCGUCCUGUUAAGUCAGGCANCGAGCGAAACCCGCACUUCUAGUUCCAGCGAUACCCUUGUGGUAGUCGGGUACACUAGGAGGACUGCCAUUGUUAAAAUGGAGGAAGGAACGGGCAACGGUAGGUCAGUAUGCCCCGAAUGGACCGGGCAACACGCGGGCUACAAUGGCUAUAACAGAGGGAUGCAACGCCGAGAGGCGAAGCUAAUCUCUAAACGUAGUCGUAGUUCGGAUUGCGGGCUGAAACUCGCCCGCAUGAAGCUGGAUUCGGUAGUAAUCGCGUAUCAUAAGUGCGCGGUGAAUACGUCCCUGCUCCUUGCACACACCGCCCGUCAAAGCACCCGAGUGGGGUCCGGAUGAGGCCAUCAUGCGAUGGUCGAAUCUGGGCUCCGCAAGGGGGCUUAAGUCGUAACAAGGUAACC